rnacentral:sRNA from 1 species
AGUAAACGACGUUAUUUUAGGAGUUGUUAUCUCUUUAGCCGUGCUGUCGGUAAUUGGAUCAGUUAUCCUGUACGUUUGUUGUCGUCGUCGUUGUUGUUGUUUUCGGAAUAGAGGGUCGGGGUCAUCGAGUUUUAAGCUCAGGUCCUUUUACUAAAGAUUUAAUUGGACAAUUGUCUAUUAGCUGGUCUGAAUAUACAUACAAAAGAAGUACGCACACCAAGUCAGACAAGUGUAAUAGACGAUUACUAAUGGGUUGUACAAGGAGAAGUAGCUAUAUGUUGAAGGUUUCUACAAAGUAUUUAUAUAAGUUACACGGUUUUGGAUGGAGAUAAAAGGAAAAUAUAUAUUGACAAUCCUGACGUUUUCCAUGAUCUUUGAAACAGAAUCGUCAAUGGAGUUAAAAUCCUACACAGCUUGUUACGGAAUCCUUGGGUUACAAAAUUUUCUACUGCCAUCAUGUCCAGCCGGACAGAAGAUAGCCGUUAUGGCGGUGUACAUGUUAGCUAAGUACAAGUCGACCGGCUGCCCCCAAAUACAAACUUCACCGGGUGACGACCCCGCCUGCUGUCAGUAUGACGUCACUGAUUGUUCGUACCUGUAUGACUCUGGAUCAUUUCGUGCCUAUUAUCAGACAUGUAAUGGGAAAUCUUUCUGUCAGAUUCAAGUUUCAUGGAUCGACAUACCCUCACACUGCAACAGUUCUGUUUACAUUGAGAGGACGCACUACAUGAAAAUGGACUACUAUUGUAUCUCAGAUCAGGCCGUAGACCCGUGUACCGACCUGACGACAUCUGAUUCUCCCGCCUUUUUUUUGGAACACUGGGUAUCCAGCAGAAAUGACGACAACAAAUACAUCAUGUACCUGCUCUAUAGAGAUGUCAUGUGACACAACGUUAGAACUAACAGCCAUCGACCUACAAUUGAAGGACCCUGGGAACUGUAAACAUUCCCUUCUCGUCACUGAUGGCAGUUUUUCUUCAACUUAUGACUGCUCCAGCAACAACGAUUUUCUACCACGAGUGAUGUACACCAGUACAAACCAUUUUGUGACCAUAGUUUUUACAAACAAUCUCGGUAUUACUGGAGGGAAGUUUUUUAUUCGAAUCCAAGGAACAAAUCCUACAGGAGAGGUAACACUUUCUUGCGGGGCAUCCGCACUAACAAUGUCGUCACAGAAUCCCAGUAGUCUGCCGACAUGUCCAGGAGAAGGCGACAUAACCACAAAUCUACCGACCAAUGGGCAAAGUACACAAACAGACAACUCAACGACACUCACCGCUAUGUCAACCAAGGACUCCACAACACUUACUUCUAUGUCAACCGAGAACUCAACAACACCUACCUCUAUAUCAACCAAAGACUCCACAACACUUACUUCUAUGUCAACCAAAGACUCAACGACACUUACUCGUACCUCUAUGUCAACCGAGAACUCAACAACACCUACUUCUAUAUCAACCGAAGACUCAACGACACUUACUCGUACCUCUAUGUCAACCGAGAACUCAACAACACCUACCGCUAUGUCAACCAAAGACUCCACAACACUUACUUCUAUGUCAACCGAAGACUCAACGACACUUACUCGUACCUCUAUGUCAACCGAGAACUCAACAACACCUACUACUAUAUCAACCGAAGACUCUACAACACUUAUUUCUAUGUCAACCAAGAACUCAACAACACCUACCGCUAUGUCAACCAAAGACUCCACAACACUUACUUCCAUGUCAACCGAAGACUCAACGACACUUACCGUUUUGUCAACCGAGAACUUAACAACACCUACCGCUAUGUCAACCAAAGACUCCACAACACUUACCACUAUGUUAAUUGACUCCUCCACUGUCUCAACGAGCAUCUCACAUAAUGUAACACGUAAGUACUCCACAAAAGCUAACGUUAUGACUACUGUCUCAUCCACUGCAACAACUACCACUCUGACAACUGAGGACUACACAAUGUCUACCGAUGUGACAAAUGACUCACCCACUGCUUCACCUAGCACCUUACUAAAUGUAAAAACUGAAAACUCCACAA